AUACGGAGGGUGCGAGCGUUAAUCGGAAUUACUGGGCGUAAAGGGUCCGUAGGCGGUCUGCUUAGUCUGAUGUGAAAGCCCCUGGCUUAACCUGGGAAUGGCAUUGGAUACUGGCGGACUAGAGUCUGGUAGAGGGUGGUGGAAUUCCCGGUGUAGCGGUGAAAUGCGUAGAUACCGGGAGGAACACCAGUGGCGAAGGCGGCCACCUGGACCAAGACUGACGCUGAGGGACGAAAGCGUGGGGAGCAAACAGGAUUAGAAACCCUAGUAGUCC
rnacentral:rRNA from 1 species